AGGGUUUGAUCAUGGCUCAGAACGAACGCUGGCGGCAGGCCUAACACAUGCAAGUCGAGCGCGCCUUCGGGCGAGCGGCGGACGGGUUAGUAACGCGUGGGAACGUGCCCAGAUCUACGGAAUAGCCACUGGAAACGGUGAGUAAUACCGUAUACGCCCUUAGGGGGAAAGAUUUAUCGGAUUUGGAUCGGCCCGCGUUAGAUUAGGUAGUUGGUGGGGUAACGGCCUACCAAGCCUACGAUCUAUAGCUGGUUUUAGAGGAUGAUCAGCAACACUGGGACUGAGACACGGCCCAGACUCCUACGGGAGGCAGCAGUGGGGAAUCUUGGACAAUGGGGGGAACCCUGAUCCAGCCAUGCCGCGUGAGUGAAGAAGGCCCUAGGGUCGUAAAACUCUUUCGCCUGUGAUGAUAAUGACAGUAGCAGGUAAAGAAACCCCGGCUAACUCCGUGCCAGCCGCCGCGGUAAUAC
rnacentral:rRNA from 1 species